AUUGAACGCUGGCGGCAUGCCUUACACAUGCAAGUCGAACGGCAGCACGGGAGCAAUCCUGGUGGCGAGUGGCGAACGGGUGAGUAAAGUAUCGGAACGUGCCCAGUCGUGGGGGAUAACGUAGCGAAAGUUACGCUAAUACCGCAUACGAUCUAUGGAUGAAAGCGGGGGAUCGCAAGACCUCGCGCGAUUGGAGCGGCCGAUAUCAGAUUAGGUAGUUGGUGGGGUAAAGGCUAACCAAGCCGACGAUCUGUAGCUGGUCUGAGAGGACGACCAGCCACACUGGGACUGAGACACGGCCCAGACUCCUACGGGAGGCAGCAGUGGGGAAUUUUGGACAAUGGGCGCAAGCCUGAUCCAGCCAUGCCGCGUGCAGGAUGAAGGCCUUCGGGUUGUAAACUGCUUUUGUACGGAACGAAAAGGUUUGACUUAAUACGUUGGACUCAUGACGGUACCGUAAGAAUAAGCACCGGCUAACUACGUGCCAGCAGCCGCCGCGG
rnacentral:rRNA from 1 species